UGCCAGCCGCCGCGGUAAUACGUAGGGGCCAAACGUUGACCGGAUUUAUUGGGCGUAAAGGGCUCGUAGGCGGUUCAACAAGUCGGUCGUGAAAACCCGGGGCUCAACCCCGGGACGCCGGUCGAAACUGUUGUGACUAGGGUCCGGUAGAGGUGAGUGGAAUUCUCGGUGUAGCGGUGGAAUGCGCAGAUAUCGAGAGGAACACCAGUAGCGAAGGCGGCUCACUGGGCCGGUACCGACGCUGAGGAGCGAAAGCAUGGGGAGCGAACAGGAUUAGAUA
rnacentral:rRNA from 1 species